UAGGGAAUCUUCCACAAUGGGCGAAAGCCUGGUGGAGCAACGCCGCGUGUGUGAUGAAGGGUUUCGGCUCGUAAACACUGUUGUAAGAGAAGAAUGACAUUGAGAGUAACUGUUCAAUGUGUGACGGUAUCUUACCAGAAAGGAACGGCUAAAUACGUGCCAG
rnacentral:rRNA from 1 species